rnacentral:rRNA from 1 species
UUAAAUUGAAGAGUUUGAUCAUGGCUCAGAUUGAACGCUGGCGGCAGGCCUAACACAUGCAAGUCGAACGGUAGCACAGAGAGCUUGCUCUCGGGUGACGAGUGGCGGACGGGUGAGUAAUGUCUGGGAAACUGCCUGAUGGAGGGGGAUAACUACUGGAAACGGUA